CCUACGGGUGGCAGCAGUGGGGAAUAUUGCGCAAUGGGCGAAAGCCUGAUGCAGCGACGCCGCGUGAGUGAAGAAGGUCUUCGGAUCGUAAAGCUCUGUCAGCAGGGAAGAACGGUCACUGUGCUAAUCAGCAGUGAAUUGACGGUACCUGCACAGGAAGCACCGGCUAACUACGUGCCAGCAGCCGCGGUAAUACGGAGGGUGCGAGCGUUAAUCGGAAUUACUGGGCGUAAAGCGCUCGUAGGCGGUAUGUCACGUCAAGGGUGAAAUCCCCGCGCUCAACGUGGGAACUGCCUUUGAAACUGGCAAACUGGAGUGUGUGAGAGGAUAGUGGAAUUCCAGGUGUAGGAGUGAAAUCCGUAGAUAUCUGGAGGAACAUCAGUGGCGAAGGCGACUAUCUGGCACAUAACUGACGCUGAGGAGCGAAAGCGUGGGGAGCAAACAGGAUUAGAUACCCCAGUAGUC
rnacentral:rRNA from 1 species